AAUUGGCUCCCGUUGCGCAUGCGCGAGCUCGGGCGGCGCGGGGUCUGGGGCUGGGGAUGUGGUACCUGCUGCUGGCGGCGGCAGGUAGUAGAGCGGUGGUCGGGCCACUGGUCUUGCUGUGGCGAUGUGGUGGCCCAGGAGGCGGCAGGACGGCCAAGAACAGCGCGAGGGCCCUGGGCACGGCCCGACAGGCUGGAGUGCAGCGGCGUGGUCUCGGCUCGCUGCAACCUCCCUGCCUCAGGCUCCCGUGAUUCUCCAGCCUCGGCCUGCGGAAUACCUGGGAUUGCAGGCGCACACCACCACGCCUGGCUGGUUUUUGUAUUUUUGGUGGAGACGGGGUUUCGCCGUGUUGGCCAGGCUGGUCUCCGACUCCUGACCUCCAGUGAUCUGCCCGCCUCGGCCUCCCGAAGUGCUGGGCUUACAGACGGAGUCUCGCUCACUCAGUGCUCAAAAGUUGCCCAGGCUGGAGUGCAGUGGCGUGAUCUCAGCUCGCUACAACCUCCACCUCCCAGCCGCCUGCCUUAGCCUCCCAAAGUGCUGAGAUUACAGCCUCUGCCCAGCCGCCACCCCGUCUAGGAAGUGAGGAGCGUCUCUGCCUGGCCGCCCGUCAUCUGAGAAGUGAGGAGCGCCUCUGCCCGGCCGCCCCGUCUGGGAAGUGAGGAGCGCCUUUGCCCGGCCGCCACCCCGUCUGGGAAGUGAGGAGGGCCUCUGCCUGGCCGCCCCGUCUGGGAAGUGAGGAGCGUCUCUGCCCGGCCGCCCAUCGUCUGGGAAGUGAGCGCCUCUGCCCGGCCACCCCGUCUAGGAAGUGAGGAGCGUCUCUGCCCGGCCGCCCCGUCUGGGAAGUGAGGAGCGUCUCUGCCUGGCCGCCCAUCGUCUGGGAAGUGAGGAGCACCUCUGCCCGGCCGCCCAUCGUCUGGGACGUGAGGAGCGCCUCUGCGCGGCCGCCCCGUCUGGGACGUGAGGAGCACCUCUGCCCGGCCGCCCCGUCUGGGACGUGAGGAGCGCCUCUGCGCGGCCGCCCCGUUUGGGACUGAGGAGCGUCUCUGCCCGGUCGCCCCGUCUGGGACGUGAGGAGCGCCUCUGCCCGGCCGCCCAUCGCCUGGGACGUGAGGGGCGCCUCUGCCCGGCCGCCCAUCGUCUGGGACUUGAGGAGCGCCUUGCCUGGCCGCCCCGUCUGGGACGUGAGGAGCGCCUCUGCCCGGCCGCCCAUCGUCUGGGACGUGAGGGGCGCCUCUGUCCGGCCGCCCAUCGUCUGGGACUUGAGGAGCGCCUUGCCUGGCCGCCCCGUCUGGGACGUGAGGAGCGCCUCUGCCUGUCUGCCCCGUCUGGGAAGUGAGGAGCCCCUCUGCCCGGCCGCUGUGCAACCUUCCGAGUGUGAAGUGACAGCCUUCAUUGUAGAAUGAAUGAAGACACUGGCACUGAUUAUAUAACACCUUGGCAGCUAUCUCAAGUCGUUGAUGGUGGAGGUAUUGGAAUUAUAGAAGAAAGCAAACACAAAUUUGACUAAAGGCGAUUUUGUGACUUCUUUCUAUUGGCCCUGGCAAACCAAGGUUAUUCUGGAUGGAAGUAGCCUUGAAAAGGUGAUAUAUAUAUGAACGUAUCUGAUUUUUUUUCCCCGUAUAAUUCUUAGUUUGUGCACUUGAUACUCAGUUGUGUUUGUAAUCACGGAAAAAUAAAAGCAUAUAUAAAUAAUAAUAAUCAUAUAAAAAUAUAAGCUAUAUGUUGGAAAUACCCUGGUUUUAGUUCAGAUACUUAAAAAUGGUACAUAAUUCUACAAAUUUAAAUGUACAUAAAAAUGUAGUUUGGUAUUCUUUGUUGUACCGUUUAUGUUGCAGACUGCUAUAAUUUCAAGAAGUUAUAUAAAUAAAAUGAUGCACUUUAAAAAAAAAAAAAGAAGAAAAGAAAAAAGGCUGGGCUCACACCUAUAAUCCCAGCACUUUGGGAGGCCAAAGUGGACAGAUCAUCUGAGGUGAGGAGUUCGAGACCAGCCAAAUCAACAUGGUGAAACUCCGUCUCUACUAAAAAUGCAGGAAUUAGCUGGGCAUGGUGGCGGGUGCCUGUGGUCCCAGCUACUGGGGAGGCUGAGGCAGGAGAAUGGCGUGAACCCAGGAGGCGGAGGUUGCAGUGAGCCGAGAUCGCGCCACUGCACUCCAGCCUGGGCGACAGCGGAAACUCCGUCUCAAAAAAAAAAAAAGAAAAGAAAAGAAAUUAACCUCUUGGUUGACCAAAGAUGAGUCAUAGUGUAUUUCAGUAUUUAAAUUUUACACAAUUUUAUGUUUUAGUCUUACAGUCUUGUUUUUGAAGCUGCAAUAUUUUAAGUUACUAAAUUGCCUCAGUUUCUAAAAAAUAAAAAUAAAUUAAAAAAAAUUGUUUUGACCGGGCACAUUGGCUCACGCUUGUAAUAUCAGCACUUUGGGAGGGCGAGGCAGGUGAAUCAGUUGAGGUCAGGAGUUCGCGACUAGCCUGGCCAACAUGGUAAAACCCCGUUUCUACUAAAAUAAAAUUACAGGCCAGGCUCGGUGGCUUAUGCCUGUAAUCCCAGCACUUUGGGAGACUAAGGUGGGUGGAUCACGAGGUCAAGAGAUCGAGGGCCUCCUGGCCAACAUACUGAAACACCAUCUCUACUAAAAUACAAAAAUUAGCUGGGCAUGGUGGCAUGCGCCUGUAGUCCCAGCUACUUGGGAGGCUGAGCCAGGAGAAUCGCUUGAACCCAGUAGGCGGAGGUUGCUGUGAGUUGAGAUCGCACCAUUGCACUCCAGCCUGGCAACAGAGACUGUCUUAAAAAAACAAAAAAACAACAAAAAAAAGUUUUUUUUUUUUUUUAGAGACAAGGCCUCCCAAAGUGCUGGGAUUACAGGCAUGAGCCACUGCACCCAGCCUCAGUCAAAUUUUUUUUUUUUUU